GAUGAACGCUGGCGGCGUGCCUAAUACAUGCAAGUCGAGCGAACGGACGAGAAGCUUGCUUCUCUGAUGUUAGCGGCGGACGGGUGAGUAACACGUGGAUAACCUACCUAUAAGACUGGGAUAACUUCGGGAAACCGUAGCUAAUACCGGAUAAUAUUUUGAACCGCAUGGUUCAAAAGUGAAAGACGGUCUUGCUGUCACUUAUAGAUGGAUCCGCGCUGCAUUAGCUAGUUGGUAAGGUAACGGCUUACCAAGGCAACGAUGCAUAGCCGACCUGAGAGGGUGAUCGGCCACACUGGAACUGAGACACGGUCCAGACUCCUACGGGAGGCAGCAGUAGGGAAUCUUCCGCAAUGGGCGAAAGCCUGACGGAGCAACGCCGCGUGAGUGAUGAAGGUCUUCGGAUCGUAAAACUCUGUUAUUAGGGAAGAACAUAUGUGUAAGUAAGUGUGCACAUCUUGACGGUACCUAAUCAGAAAGCCACGGCUAACUACGUG
rnacentral:rRNA from 1 species